AUUGAACGCUGGCGGCAGGCCUAACACAUGCAAGUCGAGCGGAUGAAGGGAGCUUGCUCCUGGAUUCAGCGGCGGACGGGUGAGUAAUGCCUAGGAAUCUGCCUGGUAGUGGGGGAUAGCGUCCGGAAACGGGCGCUAAUACCGCAUACGUCCUGAGGGAGAAAGUGGGGGAUCUUCGGACCUCACGCUAUCAGAUGAGCCUAGGUCGGAUUAGCUAGUUGGUGGGGUAAAGGCCUACCAAGGCGACGAUCCGUAACUGGUCUGAGAGGAUGAUCAGUCACACUGGAACUGAGACACGGUCCAGACUCCUACGGGAGGCAGCAGUGGGGAAUAUUGGACAGUGGGCGAAAGCCUGAUCCAGCCAUGCCGCGUGUGUGAAGAAGGUCUUCGGAUUGUAAAGCACUUUAAGUUGGGAGGAAGGGCAGUAAGUUAAUACCUUGCUGUUUUGACGUUACCAACAGAAUAAGCACCGGCUAACUUCGU
rnacentral:rRNA from 1 species